rnacentral:rRNA from 1 species
UACGAAGGGUGCAAGCGUUAAUCGGAAUUACUGGGCGUAAAGCGUGCGUAGGCGGUUUCUUAAGUCUGCUGUGAAAUCCCCGGGCUCAACCUGGGAAUGGCAGUGGAUACUGGGAGGCUAGAGUGUGUCAGAGGAUGGUGGAAUUCCCGGUGUAGCGGUGAAAUGCGUAGAGAUCGGGAGGAACAUCAGUGGCGAAGGCGGCCAUCUGGGACAACACUGACGCUGAAGCACGAAAGCGUGGGGGGCAAACAGG